rnacentral:tRNA from 1 species
GAGGGUAUAGCUCAGUGGUAGAGUGGGACCAUACACCUGGUCCUGGGUUCAAUCCCCAGUACCUCCA